CAUGCAGUCGAGCGAUGAGCCCUUCGGGGUGGAUUAGCGGCGGACGGGUGAGUAACACGUGAGUAACCUGCCUCAAAGUGGGGGAUAGCCUUCCGAAAGGAAGAUUAAUACCGCAUAACAUCAGUUGAUUGCAUGAUUGACUGAUCAAAGAUUUAUUGCUUUGAGAUGGACUCGCGGCGCAUUAGCUAGUUGGUGAGGUAACGGCUCACCAAGGCGACGAUGCGUAGCCGACCUGAGAGGGUGAUCGGCCACAUUGGGACUGAGACACGGCCCAGACUCCUACGGGAGGCAGCAGUGGGGAAUAUUGCGCAAUGGGCGAAAGCCUGACGCAGCAACGCCGCGUGAGUGAAGAAGGUCUUCGGAUUGUAAAGCUCUGUCUUCAGGGACGAUAAUGACGGUACCUGAGGAGGAAGCCACGGCUAACUACGUGCCAGCAGCCGCGGUAAUACGUAGGUGGCAAGCGUUGUCCGGAUUUACUGGGCGUAAAGGGUGCGUAGGCGGAUGAUUAAGUCAGAUGUGAAAUACCAGGGCUCAACCCUGGGGCUGCAUUUGAUACUGGUUAUCUAGAGUGCAGGAGAGGAGAGCGGUAUUCCUAGUGUAGCGGUGAAAUGCGUAGAGAUUAGAAGAACACCAGUGGCGAGGCGGCUCUCUGGACUGUAACUGACGCUGAGGCCACGAAAGCGGUGGGGGGAGCAAACAGGAUUAGAUACCUUGUAGUCCACCGCCGUAAACGAAUGUCUACUUGGAGGUUGUGGCUGGACUUGGUCUUUCGGAGCUACGCGGUAAGUAAACCGCGCUGGGGAGAUACGGUCGCAGAAAUAAACUCAAUAGAUUGACGG
rnacentral:rRNA from 1 species